CCGCUGUUCGGUUCCCGGCGCCCGGCGCGCGUUGCGAACGGUCAGGAGCGGCCGGUUCCGCACGAGCUGCACCCCGCUAGCGUCCUGAUGAGUCUCGCACUCUGACCCGAAAACAGGCGAUUGCACCGCAGCCUUGAGGAACUCUUGUCUGGAGCCACCAAAUGUGCCUGUUUCCUCAUUCUCCUGGUCUACGAGGCUCUGAGCCGGUUCCCAGAGCGUGGAGAUCAGCCUGCAUUUGGACAAUCACCAAAUUUUCACUUUUUCAAGCUGUCACCUGUAUCUGCUCUAUCCCACACCUUAGGAUCUCUGUGUUGCCUAUGUGCUCAGGCUGUCCUCAAACUGCCAGUCCUUCUGCCUCAGAACCUGGAGUAGCUGGGACUACAGGCUCAUGCUCCUGUGCCAGACCUGGGUGUUGUGAUUUCACCAGUGACUAGAGUACUGCAGUGCCACAAUCUGGGCCCAGGUCUUAAGACGCUGACAGUUUCUACUUCCUAUUUCUUGGAACAGUCACUCAUGGCACCCAGAAACAUACUGUGAAGAACGGGAAGCUCCAUGGAGAGGCUCACAUGGUUAGAAAACAGAAUCCUCUCCUCCCUCACAACCCUCCAGCCAGUGAUGUGAACCUUUUAGAGACCAAGUGCCCAAACUGCAAGCCAAAACCCACUUAUUUAUCGCGAAGUGCCAACACCGCAAUUAAACCUAAUACAUACUGAGGUUUUAGUUUAGAAAAAAACAACUCAUAUACUUGGCUCGAGUGCCGACAGAGAGGGCUCUGCAUGCCCACCACCACGGCCACCACCUCUCAAACAACCAGCUUGCUUGCUGGCAGUGUGAGUGAACCAUUUUGGAAAUGUAUUCUCAACACUCAGUUUAGCUACUUUGACUUCCUGAGGUCUAUUAGAGCACCUUUGCCCACAUACAUAAGGAGCUUGAAGUGCCUGAUAAUUUCUAUUUCCCUAGAAAAAAAGAAUUAAAAUGUCUUAUGUACCACCAACUCCCCAUGAUGAAUGUAAUCAUUAUGUACAAUAAACAUGAGCUAAUAAAAGUUUUAGAAAUUUACAUUUCCCAUAGAUCAGUGGCGGCAAACCUAUAGCAAGUGAGUUUUGUUUUGCUUUUUUUUAAGACAAAAGAUGUUAAGUAUGAGUUGUUUUUUCUAAAUGAAAACCUCAGUAUUUAGGUUUAAUUGCUGUGUUGGCACUUUGCAAUAAAUAAAUGGGUUUGGGGUUGCAGUUUGGGCACUCGGUUUCUAAAAGGGUCACCAUCACUGCCCUAGGUAGCACUUGGGCAAUGAGUGUUAAGGAAAUAUUGUAUAAAACUUCAGCUUCCUGGUCUCAGACUUCCAGCCUUUAGAACUAUAAGGAAAUAAAUUCGUGUUGGUUAAGUUAGCUAGUCUGUGGUAUUUUGUUAUGGCAGCUCAAACAGAC